CUCUGCAAGGUCAGUCAUUUUUGCUGUGAGCGAGACGAACGUCAGUCAGUCGUUGUUGUCGUCGAGCUACUGCACUAGGCUAUAAAAAGCUAGUCAUUUCACUCUCAGUGUCAUUUUGCAAGACAUUCUAGACGAAGACGCUUCGACUUUUGUGUCUCGUGGCUCUGGUGGCAUGUCAUUUAGGUUGCCUGACCUGGUUUAAUUUUGUUUCGUCCAUCUGAAUCAAACGUUAUCAAAAUCCUCAGUGGUAGUAUUCAGACGUUUUCGGGUUCUGCGGUUCUUCUCUAGAACUGUGAGCGAUCUUACUGGUGGGCUCAACUGAACCGUGCACAACUCCUCUCUCAGCUGAAGUUUCAAACAUGGCGGCAAAGGAGCCUCGUGUUUCUGGCAAACAGAUGGAGCAGUGGUCAAGGUACGUUUAUGCAUAAGUAUGAUCACUUGUUCUACAGAAAACCAAAUCUCUGCUACAGUCAUGUAGUUAUAGGAGUCAGGCUUUGUAUGAAAGGCAGCUUGCAAGGUGAAGUUAGAUUGGCAAUGAUCUUACCUGAUUUGAAUUUCCUAUUUUCUAUCCAUUUACUAUUCAUCCGAUGUAUUUUACAAGUAAUUUUACAUCCCAAAUCAAAUAGGUAUGCACAUAGCCAGCAAUCGCAGGUUAUCACCUAGAUAUAAUAAUAAUCUGCAUAACGGUAAAAGUAACUUAGUUUAGAAUGGAACUUGCUGAAGUUUCAAAUAUGGCGGCAAAGGAGCCUCGUGUUUCUGGCAAACAGAUGAAGCAGUGGUCAAGGUACGUUUAUGCAUAAGUAUGAUCACUUGUUCUACAGAAAACCAAAUCUCUGCUACAGUCAUGUAGUUAUAGGAGUCAGGCUUUGUGUGAAAGGCAGCUUGCAAGGUGAAGUUAGAUUGGCAAUGAUCUUACCUGAUUUGAAUUUCCUAUUUUCUAUCCACUUACUAUUCAUCCCAUGUAUUUUACAAGUAAUUUUACAUCCCAAAUCAAAUAGGCAAGUAUGCACAUAGCCAGCAAUUGCAGGUUAUCACCUAGUUAUAAUAAUAAUCUGCAAAACGGUAAAAGUAACUUAGUUUAGAAUGGAAUUUUUGCUCAGCGUCACCCUUUUAACCAGGCCGUAACGAGGUCGGCCGCAGGAAUCCUAGAGAAAGAGAAUCCUCCUCUCCACUGCUCAACCAGGAUGCUGACAUAGGUCCGAAAAUAGACAACUAAAAGGUACGCAGGAAACCUUUACGCCCAAGGCUGCGCAGACUUUGGCCUACUAGUAUUUUAACAUACAAGUAAAUUCAAAAUUUACGAGGAGCACACAAAAAAUCUCUAUUGAAACCUAGGCAAUCUGCGCAGUUCCAAACUGGAAAAUGGAAACACUGGUGGUAGGAAUUCACACCGGCGCAGUGAGUCCAGUUCCAGUCUUCUAUAUCGAAGUUUACCGCGCCUAGUGUAAUCCAGUGAAAACAACACAGCCUCAAUCGAAUGUUGCCUUUGUUUCAUGAGCGCCAAAGACAGAAGUAAUCUGUGCCAGAAGAUUGUGCUCUUAUGGAGGUACCUAUGUAUACAUACAUACAUAAAAUUAAUACAAACAAACAUACAAAUAUACAUACAAACAUACAUUUUGAUCUUGAUCUUGAUCCUGCUGCCAAGCCUCGCUACAUACACACAUAAAUACAUACAUUCAAGAAGCACACCCAUAUACACCCACUCCAAUGUUGCAGCCCAUCCACCCAGUGAUACAUAUGCUGCUUUGUCUUCGUUAUUUCUUCCAUUUGGUUUCUAUAUGUCUGGUUCACACAGGAUUCAGCGGAAUAUCCGAUGUAGUAUCAUCAAAGAGGAUCGAUUCGGUCGCCCAGGAGCAACCCUGAGGUCGUCAAUUAACAUCAUUGGUGGACUUGAUAUUUCGUACAGCAGCAACGACAACCAGACGGCCGUGGCUGCGCUAUCGCUAUAUAACUACCAUACCAUGCAACACAUGCAUACAUUUAAGAUUCCCGUCAAAAUAACCGUACCAUACAAAUCCGGCUUCUUGGCGUAUCGAGAAGUCGAGCAUUAUGUCACGUUGCUGGAGACGCUUAAGAAGGAACACCCCCAGUGGAAGCCACAGGUGCUUUUGGUGGAUGGCAAUGGAAUUUGCACCACAGAGGCUGUGGCUCAGCCAGCCAUCUAGGAGUUGUGGCUGACGUGCCCACCAUUGGUGUAGCCAAAAAACUACUUAUUCCAGCGGUUCAAGCCCGAAGUGAGCGACAAUUCCGAGAUGUAAGUGAAAGACUUCACUAUGUUCUUGCCCUGGAACAUUCGUUAGGAAUACUCGCAUCUACUUCUUCAUCUACAGGCAGGCACAGUGGGUUGGUCAAAGACCAUGAUUGAGAUACGAGAGGUACCUGAGAGGUACCUGGUUCAAGUCCUGCCUGGGAGCGGUUUUUCCAGCCGUGCUGCUACCCACAGUCAACUGGGAACUUGUGGCCAGGCACAAGGGGUACAUGGAUGCAGCUAAUGGGGUCGUUUUUGGCACUUGUGCCAGUGGUUGUGAGACUUAUCCACUCACCCCCACCGUCAGGCGCUGCAUCUGCCGCUAGGGUUUAUCGGGUGUUAGCGGCCGUCGUGAGUUCCCUUCGGGAACGGACACGAUAAUUUACUUUUUUUUUUUUUUUUUACUUCUUUAUCUUUGCCGUGAUGAUGCCCAUUUCACACAAUAUUGGCUGUAAUUCAUUAUUAUUCCUGUCGUGCAACUGAGUGAAAUUUUCGGAGAUGGAGGGGAUAGCAAGUGAAAAGUUCUUAGCUUAGGAUAUGGUCCCAGUGAUAAUCAUCUGUCCCUGUUGAAAGUUUAACACUUGCGUCUUUUUAACCCUUUUGGCAUCCACAGGACAAUAUCAAACACCUUUGCCAAAACAGAGGCACGGCUCCAGUGAUUGGAAAGGGUAAGACCGGCAUCAUUGGAGUAGCCAGCGUCAACAAAGGUGGAUCAACACCCGUCUAUAUUUCAGUGGGCCACAGAGUGUCUCUGAAUACUGCAGUUAGAAUAGUCCAGCAGUGCUAUCGAGGCAAUUGUAGAAUUCCAGCUCCUAUAGACAGUGCUGAUCAAGAAUCCCGGCAACAGGUUGGUGCAAGAACAAGAGAUACUCGCCCGCGUGUGAAUGCCAAGCCUAGAGAUCGCAACAGUUACCACGGAGCAGUGCAGCAGGUCGACAUGGACACGUCUGGCGGCAAGGAUUCCACGACUUCCACCACACAUGACGUUCAGCAGGAGACUCCAAAUACAGCUCCACUGAAGGCCCAGUCAUCAGAUAACGCCCAAGGGACUCCUGGUUUCCCUGCUCCUCUACGUGGCAAAGCAGCUCACACCUCCCCAGACGACGAGGGCUUCACCUAGGCUACUGGAAAACAUACAUUCAAGCCCAAGGCAUCCCCGUCAGAGCAACACAUCACCCGAUCCACAGGUAACAUGGGCUACCUAAGCAUCAGCCACCGAGAGGGAGAGGCAUUUGGAACGCAUUGCAGCUACCCGCAGAGGAAGUGCUAGUGCAAUCAAGCAAAAACUGGAUGCUGCCACCCGGGAUUCGUCUUCGAACAGCGACCCUGAUGAGGUUCCUGUCGCUAUGGGCAAGCGGAAGGCUACCCCAGCAACGCCAACCAGGGAUAACCUUGAUGAUUAUGUUCUUCUACACUUUGUUAUGUGAGAUUUUCAACUCGCUUGCUAGCCUUCCUACUUUGUUGUAUCCCAUUUACUUUAGCAUUCCUGAUGUGUGUCCAUACCCCUGCUUGAUGAUUUAACUCCAGUUUCAUUGGCUACCUUUAAUUCCGUAAACUCCACUGAUGAUCGGGACAGAAGAUAUAUUACUCGCCGGCCGAGCGGAGCGAGUGACGUUAGAAAUGAUUUCUCGCGCAACAAAAUUAUUUUUCUUGCUAAUAUGGAAUCUGGUGUUUUCUCUUUUUGUUGCUGUUCUUUUUGCCUGACUUCUUCAGUCAGUUUUUUGUGUCUAACCAGUGUCCCCACCCUCCCACGUUUCAUGUCUGCCCGUCUUCUUAUCUUUCUUUCUUGGCUGUAGAUAUGUUGUUCCAGUAUUAUGCUGCCAUAUUACCACUUGGGGUUAUACACCCGGUCUUUUUCUCUCCUUUGUGCGUUCGUCGGCGCGAGGGUUUUUUCCCGGCUGGCUCGGUCCAGAGAAAUUAAUCUGACGGUCCCAAGUGGUGCUUGUCCUGACUUAUUUAUGUUAGGUGAAUGCAAUCACUUUUCUUCCUGGGGUCUGUCUCCCUGUUGUUGCUCCUAGUUUCUUCUGCAUUCCGGUUCACAUCUGGCUAAGGCCUACUAGUAUACUACCCUCA